rnacentral:lncRNA from 1 species
AGAUUUAUUAUAAGCUUUAUUAACAAUGUGGUGCCUCUUCUUUGUGGAGGCACUUAUUACCAUCGUAUACUCGCACAAUAGUCGAAGUUUCACAAGUACUACUGAAGAAUAUUUCACAGCAUGACGAAUUUCUCAGCUUCCCUUGUCUGUGUUGAACUUUAUCGUAAUCGCGGCGCACCCAAUGUUCACAACGAGGCUUUAUGCAGUCCCAGUUGUACGAGCUCUGAAGGACUGUCGU